GACGAACGCUGGGCGUGCCUAAUACAUGCAAGUUGAGCGAUGAAGAUUGGUGCUUGCACCAAUUUGAAGAGCAGCGAACGGGUGAGUAACGCGUGGGGAAUCUGCCUUUGAGCGGGGGACAACAUUUGGAAACGAAUGCUAAUACCGCAUAACAACUUUAAACAUAAGUUUUAAGUUUGAAAGAUGCAAUUGCAUCACUCAAAGAUGAUCCCGCGUUGUAUUAGCUAGUUGGUGAGGUAAAGGCUCACCAAGGCGAUGAUACAUAGCCGACCUGAGAGGGUGAUCGGCCACAUUGGGACUGAGACACGGCCCAAACUCCUACGGGAGGCAGCAGUAGGGAAUCUUCGGCAAUGGACGAAAGUCUGACCGAGCAACGCCGCGUGAGUGAAGAAGGUUUUCGGAUCGUAAAACUCUGUUGGUAGAGAAGAACGUUGGUGAGAGUGGAAAGCUCAUCAAGUGACGGUAACUACCCAGAAAGGGACGGCUAACUACGUG
rnacentral:rRNA from 1 species